UUCCCGACUCCAAGCAGGACCGUCCCUGGAACGCAUGCGCCUUCCAUUAACUGCGGUCUCCUAGACUCAACAUCUUCCACAUCCAGUGUUUUUAAUCUCCCAUGAACGCGCAUGUAAACACCCCUGGGAACGCGCUUGCCAGAGGCUCGCCCCCUCCAAAAUCCCUAAAAAGGGGCGGGGUGGGGCGGGGAAAUGGGCGCCUGGGCGAGGCCGGAAAGAGAAGAAUCCUGCAGGAAGGAAAGAAGCUGAACUAGUUGGGACGUGACUGGGCAUGCGCACGGGUUACCUGUCCUGAACUGCCUUAACAAUGAGCCUGCUGCGGCGGGAGGUAGUGUGCGGCUCCCAGCAUGCACCAGGCCCAGGCUGUCGAGUGGCACCCCAGGGGCUCCUGGGAGUUGUAGUUUUGCGGAGCCUCCUCGCCUUUAUCCUGGAAUGACCUAUCGCCCACUUCGUAUCCCGGCAGCUUCCCUGGAAAUCGGCUGAGUCGCGGCACCGACUCACCUCUAAGGAAUUGAGGGGUAGCCCAGGUCUGAACAGUUCUCCCUCUAGUAGAAGAGAAGCAUUGGGAGAGAAAGGACCUUGUCUGCUUAGUCAUCGCUGUAUUUCCAGCCCCUCAAAGAAGUAGCUGGCACAUUAGGAGGCAUGCUGGAUCAACUCCCUCAUCACAUGUCCAGCUGAUGACUGCAUUCUUAUACCUAUUUGACAAUACGGUACAAAUGCAAUGCAAAUCAACUACAAAGCAAAACUGCUCAUCUUGCAAAGCUAUGGAUUUUUUCAGGUUUAUUGAAGGAAGGCCAGUGUGCAAGCGAGGGAAAGAGAAAUGCCAUUUGUUCAUUAACCAGCACAAAGGAACUGGAGGAGUGUUUUAUUCAUUCUACAGAGAAACCUAACAUGCUGUUCAUUCUGCAAUAGAGUACACUUACUGCGGGGGAUCAGGAUACUCUGGCCAGCAGAAACUGAGAUUUAAGACACAUCAGCCAUCUAAGUAGGUGGAGAAGACAGCUGCGGUUGGCGAGACCCGAAGUCCCCUCCCACUGCUUGCUGGUUGAUGCCUGAGACUUGGAAACUCAGGAAUGCGUUUUCUUGGAUUAAGAUUUCAUCUAUUAAAAUACUAACAGCCCUUCUCAGGAUCCCAUGUGAAACUCUCCGGGCCAUUUUCACUCUGCUGGUAAGAGGCUCCCUGGCUCCAGCUUUUCCCAGCUGGGUAGGGAGAGAGCGAGUGGAUCCUGGCCCUUUGGCGAUGAGAGGGGGGUGUGCCUGGGGGGAGACACUCUCGGAGGAGCCCACAAAGACAAUAGGAACGCUUUUCCGUGUGUAAAACCAUUUUUGCCCAUUCCUACCACAGCCUCCCUGCCCUGCAUCCUGGGGGAAUAUAAGGUUGAUACGGUAACACGGCUGGGAGAAAGCCCGCCCACCCGAGUCUCAGGCAACCCUAAACCACAGCUGGGAUUAUCCUAGCAUUUAAUCCCUCAUCCUUAGCCAAGCUGCUUGCUUAGUUUGACCAGUGUCUUCUGUUUUUCCAUAAUGACCAGAGGCAUUCUAAUUCAUCAUUUUUUAAAGAUUUUAUUUAUCUAUUUGACAGACAGAGAUCACAAGUAGGCAGAGAGGCAGGCAGAGAGAGGGGAGGAAGCAGGCUCCCCCUGGAGCAGAGGGCUCGCUGCGGGGGGCUCGCUGCAGGGCUCGCUGUAGUACUCGAUGAGGGGCUCGAUCCCACAUGACCUGAGCCGAAGGCAAAGGUUUAACCCACUGAGCCACCCAGGCGCUCCAUCUAAUUCACCAUUUUAAAAGGUAUUCUAUAAAAGACUUCUGACAUGGGGCGGGGUGCGGGGGGUAGGGAGUGAGGUGGGGAGUGACUCUUUCUCCGGCUGGCAAGGCUUCUAAAGGAGGGAAAUCCCUGCGGCUGUGUGGAAGUGACUCAAGUCCUGAGAUGGUCUGUCAGCUCCUUGCACUGGUGUUACUGGUUGCAUGGCGACCUCACUGAGGUAACAGUGUCAUUUUAUUUUCACUUCUCACUACUUAACUUAGGUGUUUCCUCUUAUGUAACUUUCAAAAACAGUUUCCUACCUAAGAAGGGUGAAAAGGAGAUUUUAUGAAGUUGAGCUUAUUAUGGCACUUAAAAAUAAUUUGCAGUAUAGUACAUGUCUUUCUUCUUAAAGCUAUGACACGGCUGUUCAAAAAAAAAAAAAAA